GAUGAAGAACGUAGCGAAAUGCGAUAAGUAAUGCGAAUUGCAGAAUUCCAGUGAGUCAUCGAAUCUUUGAACGCACAUUGCGCCCUUUGGUAUUCCGAAGGGCAUGCCUGUUCGAGCGUCAUUAUCACCCCUCAAGCCCUCGGCUUGGUGUUGGACGGUUUGGUGGAGGCCCCCUCGGGGGCUCCUGCCCCUCCCAAAGACAAUGACGGCGGCCUCGUUGGACCCCCGGUACACUGAGUUCUUCACGGGACACGUAUCGGACACAUGGGUUUACGGGACACGGUCUGCCUCCCCUCAGGGAGAAUCUUUCUAAGGUUGACCUCGGAUCAGGUAGGGAUACCCGCUGAACUUAAGCAUAUCAAUAAGCGGACGA
rnacentral:misc_RNA from 1 species